GUCCAGCUGAAGAGUCCCAAAUAGGACGAAACGUGCAUCCUUCAU
rfam:Schistosoma haematobium scaffold809_25, whole genome shotgun sequence.